AGUGAACGCUGGCGGCGGGCCUAAUACAUGCAAGUCGAACGGACACACAGGGAGAUUUUGCUCCUACGGGUGGCGACUGGCGGAUGGGUGAGGCGUACAUAGGAUUCUUAUAAUUCGUGGAGGAUAUCGUGGAAACGGUUAUGAUAAUGCAUCAUAUGUCCAACGGGAUGAAUCAAGAGUUCAUGAGACUUUGUCCGUCUGUUUGAGAUGAAGCCGCAUUAGCUAGUUGGCAGGGUAAAGGCACACCAAGGCAACGAUCCGUAGCUGGUCUGAGAGGAUGAUCAGCCACACUGGAACUGAGACACGGUCCAAACUCCUACGGGAGGCAGCAGUGGGGAAUAUUAGACAAUGGGCGCAAGCCUGACCCAGCAAUGCCGCGUGAGUGAAGAAGGUCUUCGGAUCGUAAAGCUCUUUUAUUAGGAAAGAAAAGCUGCAUAAGAAUACCCCGCUGUUUUGACGGUACCCAAUGAAUAAGCCCCGGCUAACUACGUG
rnacentral:rRNA from 1 species